GGGUGACCCGCAGCUUGCUCCCUUUUAAUUCACCUGAAUUAAUUACCGACGUUACCGUUAAUAAAGUGUAUCGAGGAAGAAGAGCUUCUCCCUGGAGAUGUUGGAUGUUUCGGGAGGCCGAUGAUUGAUGUGACGUGGAGGAGAGUGAUUGAGCGUUGACCUCUCGACCCUUCUUCUCUUUUCUCUGCUGCAGUUUCCAGGAGCGACCGGAUGUUGCUGCUCGACAGGUGUGAGCUCCCGCUGCGGGACGAGGGCCCCGAGCCCUGGAGCACUCGCCGCCCGGAGGGCGCGCAGGUCGCGCGGCGUUACGCGGCCCGAGCGCUCACCGGCUCCGGUUCAAAGUUGACCCGGUUUCCGGAUCACCAGGACCGAUGUGAUCGGCGCUGCUCGUCGGACUCAUUGACAGACGGGACGUCGGAGUGUCUUGGUGACCUGUAGUGGUUUUGUGUGCAGUGACACAAGAGGAGGACGAGGCCUCGUCUUCCACUGCGUGAUGAGACAUCUCUACUCCGUCAAAGGCUCAUGUUUUAUGGAUUCCUGUCCCGUGUUGUGGUCUCGCGUUGGGGGGGGGGGGGCACACAGGUAAGAGAGUACAUGUUGGAAGUGGCCACGGGGAUCAUGCAUCUUGGAUAGCUGUGCGAGCUGUAAUGGCUUACAUCCUCCCCCCUCGAGGCCGGCCCACCUUUUUAACGUUUUUGCUCACAGAUGGGGCGAAAAGGUUCCCCCCCUCCCUGUCCCCCCUCACCCCCCGCUUCCAUGUGACCUCUGUUGAAUGUAAAAAACUGUGACACAAAGUGGCACAGUUUCAUAUUUGUUUAGCGGUGAUGCGGCGGCGUAAUGGCGCGGCUCCGGUAUCCACAUCACCGCAGGCGGAGCGCCGGGGGACGACCUGGGAUCACCGUGCUGCUGAUUUAUGCAUGAACCAUGUGCUCACUUUGCCGGGACAGACGGAGCCGGCGGUGACAGAGGAGACGUUUCGGACGGGAAGACGUCCUCUCAUUUCAUUCCGCCCCCACAAAGACAUUACGUAUCCUCGCGUUCAUAGCAGAUACCUGCCUGCCGCCGCCGUCUGUCACGUGAAAACACGUUAAACGCCUGAAACUUGUUGCUUUCCUCCCGGCGGCUACGGUCCCCGCAUCGACGUCCUUUUUACGAUAGUUGACAUUAUUUUAAAUAAGCAAUCGGAAAACAUGGGAUCGCUUUGUGCAUCUGUCUGCAGCCGGUCCGCUCAUGACUAAUGCACGAGCGCUCAGCCGAGGCUCCGUCCCAGGCGACCACAACGCGCUCCCACAUGCAGGCCGCACAAACACGUGGCGUUAAUACUGAGCAUGUGAUGUUUGUCACCGCCCACUUGGUGGUAUGGGUUCCAUAAGAAGCCCGGGGAGUGGGGAGUGGGCGGGUCAGAGGAAUGGGUCAGAUUGACCUCUAACGACCUCCGCGCGUUCACAGAUCGUAGUGACGGGUGAUGAUGCGCCGCACCUCCACCGGGGAGCAUCUUGACUGAAUGUAGCAAAGCUCGGUCGUGGACAUGAGCUCAGUGGUGCUUUAGAGGGAAAAGGCCCACCGAUGGCAGAGCCGAGCUCGCUCAUGCGUCGUUAUUUGAAAACGCAGGAAAUCUCCAUGUAAAUCUGGCCCCUCGGAGCAUCUCCGUCCCUGUUUGUCUUGACAGCGCCCUCCUUAAGCAGGCCAUGUAUCCAUAUUUGAAGGCGCCACCGGCUGCGUAGGUAAAGAUGGGAAUUUGUAGUGACAAGGGGAGGGCAUCAGCACAACAGAGGUACUUAAGGAAGGAGACAACCUCUUCCACUGAAGGCAAAUGAGACUUGUCAUCCGGCAGUUGGUGCAGUAAUUAUAAAGGGUGCGUUGAAUUUCCCAGGGAUUCCAGGAGAAUGGCAUAAUGGAGAAAACACUAAGAAUUUUAUAAGCCAUGCUGAGGGGGAAAUAAGACGGAAAAAUCCAACAUCCUUUUAAAGUCAGCUUUUACCAAAGGAACGUUGAAGGUGUCCGUGCAGCCGGCGUCUGGCUGCACAGCGAUGCAUGACGCUGGGUUCAUGCUUUCAUACUGCAGAGGUUUUGUUUUGACCAGAAAUGACCUCAACACGCAGGUGGAAAGACGGCGUGCUGGUUAAAAUGCUCCCGUCGGACGCGUGGGAGUGCAGAUGUUUCCCCGUGACAGUGUGAAAGGAAGAGUGUUUUCAUCGUGGUGUUGAUUGUAUAAUUUUCUAAUCAAGACAGCAGUCAUGUCAAGUGCAUUGAUCCUUUCUAAUUAAAACCCUGUUAUUAAUAUACAAUAUUUGACGUUGGAUUUAGCUUUAAACCUCCAGUGUUUAAAACCUGCAGUCGAGCCUGCGUCAACGACCUGAUGGAUUUGAAUAACUCCUCGAUGCCGUUUCACAGGCUUUUCCACCGUCCAAUUCAUCGGUAAAGAACUGGAUAUUUAAACAGAAGCCUUCAUGUGUAUUUGAGUCUGACAGUUACAUCUGCUCGGGGAUGCUCCGCCUCCGGCAGCAUCAGUGAAACCGCCGCCGACUUCGCCUCGCAUCCCAUCGGCCACGCGCAUUGAAUUGACAGCAGCAUAUUCUGAAAUGUGGGAUAGGCCUCCAGCCCGCAGAUACUCGAGGUAAUCUGCUUUUUAUUUUUGACUUGCAUAGACACCACAGGGCACCGAGCCCAGGUUGAUGGUUUGAUUCCUUCUGGCGUCACCCAUCCCGAGUGUGUAGGUUCUUUGUGCUCCGUUAAUGACGGGGUUGGAUUAUGAAAUCUAAAAUAAAUCAAAAGAGUUUAUUUAGCGCUGUAAUGAUCAUUGCUGAUCGUUUUCUUUUUCCCAUCAUUGAGUCACGACUCUUCUAUCGCACCUUUGGAUGUUUUCUUUCCUGCGGAUGAUUCGGUGUGUUGUUUCCUUUCAGAAAAUGUCGCGUCCAUUGAUUCCCCCCUUCUCCCGUUCACUCUCUCACUCUUAUUUCCCAUUAGCUCAUUGCCAAACUAGCCAACAGAUGCUUCUGUCUGACCUUCUCUCCGUCUUUUUAGCAGAUUUCCCACCCAUUCGCUCACUCGCCCCGUCGUGCAUUAAUUCAUCCAUCAUCGUUACUGCUUUUCUUCCUCCCUCCAGACCUCCUGAAACAUGACAAGCCAAUCGACGGCGCAGGUCCUCCCUCCUGUCUUUCCCUUUCAGAAUAUCAGUCAUC
ensembl:lncRNA